GACGGCGGAUGCAAGUGUUAUCCGGAAUCACUGGGCGUAAAGCGUCUGUAGGUGGUUCGAAAAGUCCACUGUUAAAAAUUGAGGCUUAACUUCAAAGAUGCCGUGGAAACUUUCAAACUAGAGUAUGGUAGGGGUAGAGGGAAUUUCCAGUGGAGCGGUGAAAUGCGUAGAUAUUGGAAAGACCACCGAUGGCGAAGGCACUCUACUGGGCCAUUACUGACACUGAGAGACGAAAGCUAGGGGAGCAAAUGGG
rnacentral:rRNA from 1 species